CUUCCACUGUCGACGCUCGAGCCCCUACCACCUACGCCUCCACCACCACUCUAGCCCCAUCCGCCGCUGUCGCUAACCUCAUCUGCCAUUCCGCUGCCACCACCUACCACCGAAGCCACCCCUCCCCCUUGUGCUGCAGCCACUACCUCUGCCUUCUUUGGCGCCCCAGCCCGGCCAUGACUCUAUCCAAUAAUGCGUCACCACCGCAUUAAGACCAUCCCAAAAUUGGAGGAACCUUGCCUCUUCUCUCCCUACCGACCCAUCUACAUAUCCUGGACCAUCCAAAAAUUGUUCGAUUAGUCUUGCAUCCGCUAGGUUCUCUAGGGCAGAAAGGCGGGAGAUGCAAAAAUGGGCUGAAUUCAGCAUCCAUCGCCGACCUGACUUUUGUUCUAGCAGUUUUCAAAGCUUCUCUUCUACCGUCCUGAAAUCUAUGUCAAGCAUUACUGAAAGCAGGUAUAUAUAUGCCGUCUAAGAAAGAAGAUAGCGGUUGAAGAAGAAACUGAAGCUAACACACGACCGUGCCAUCGAAAAGAGAAAAAGAAAGCGGUGGAGAUGGGAACCAAAACUGAUGUGGAUCGGUGGAUAGCUCGAUCAGGUGAUCUUAUUUACCCAAGUUGUUGUUGAAACUUUGAAUUUUGAACCAUGUUCUGGGUUCAGGGCUGGACCGUUGAGAUAGAUAGUUCGGUGGGCCUUAUUUGUGGCCUGUGGCAGCGUGCAUUAUGGCUGCAUGCAUGCAUGCGUGGUUCCAUUUCCAUCUGGUGCCCAUCGAACGAAGUCGUCAAUGCGUGACGUGCGUCGUCGAUCGUCUCAUCCAUUACGAAAUUUGGCCUCUUUGCACCGCUUCCUGGGAUGCGGCGUGGCUGCCUUCACUCACGCGACGGCGCUGCGUGUCUGCCUGUACGCUCUCUCGUGCACCACGUGUACUGUUCAUGUGUCUGGGACUCUCUCUGCGCUUUCUGUUGGUAGUUGGCGUAGGAUGCUAGCUGGUACACACAAUUUCAUCCUGUGCUGUGCGUGCGUGUACGAGUAGAGUACUUGUUGCUACUACACGUCCAUUGAUCGAAGAAAGAACAAAAAACAUUUCUUGUAUUGGUAAGAGUACACAAAAUAAAGUGAAUAGGAGCAAACAACUUUCUUUUUU